UAUAGCUUUAUCACCAAAAACCU
rnacentral:miRNA from 11 species